ACCUAGCUGGCUCAGUCAGUAGAGUAUGUGACUCUUGAUCUUGGGGUCAUGAGUUCAAGUCCCAUGCUGGGCA
rnacentral:tRNA from 1 species